GAUGAAGAACGUAGCGAAAUGCGAUAAGUAAUGUGAAUUGCAGAAUUCAGUGAAUCAUCGAAUCUUUGAACGCUCAUUGCGCCCGUCAGUAUUCUGGCGGGCAUGCCUGUUCGAGCGUCAUUACGCCCCUCAAGUCCCCUGUGGAUUUGGUGUUGGGGAUCGGCGAGGCUGGUUUUCCAGCACAGCCGUCCCUUAAAUUAAUUGGCGGUCUCGCCGUGGCCCUCCUCUGCGCAGUAGUAAAACACUCGCAACAGGAGCCCGGCGCGGUCCACUGCCGUAAAACCCCCCAACUUUUUAUAGUUGACCUCGAAUCAGGUAGGACUACCCGCUGAACUUAAGCAUAUCAAUAAGCGGAGGA
rnacentral:misc_RNA from 1 species